UAGGUUUCAACUUGUCCCUUUGAGGAAUUGGGACAGUAGCAUAGGCAAGGCAGCCAAAAGCCUUUAAAUGAGAGUAAGUGGGUGCCUUUCCAUGCAAUAUUUCAUAAGGGAAUUUGCCAUGAAGAAGCCUGGAGGGUAUUCUAUUAAUAAGAUAAGUAUCAGUCAAUAGGCAAUCUCCCUAGAAAGAGAGGGGUAAACCAGAUUGGAAAAGUAAAGCUCUACAAGUUUCAAGAAGAGUCCUAUGUUUCCUCUCAACAACACUAUUCUGUUGAGGAGCAUGUGGGCAAGUGGUUUGGUGUAUGAUGCCAUGUUGACUAAAAAAGGAUGCACCAACAAUACUAGAUCCCAAUUCCAAAGCAUUGUCACUCCUAAUAGUUUGAACAAUAGCAUUAAACUGUAGGGAUAUGACCCAACCUCAAAUGCCAAAUGUAAUUCAUGUCAGUGGCAACCGUAUUAUUCCACAUGGAAUUGUUUACAUUCAAAGGUAAACUAACAGCUUGAUAACUAGAACAGUCAGGUUUACAAGAAUUAGAAGAAGAAGAACAUACAGAAAUAUAAGAACAACAAUUAGAAGAAGAGGAAGGUGGCACCCAAGCAAGCUUGUACAGACCAGCCUCAACAUACAGAAGCAGAAGAACAACAAUUAGAAGAAGAGGAAGGUGGCACCCAAGAAAGCUUGUACAGACUAGCCUCCUUUUUACCAAGAUCCAGAGGCAUCCUUAGAGAAGGGGCCUGUAACAUGUGGAGGAAACAGGAAGUUGCAGUGAACAAUACUAUGCAAUGCAACUGUUUUACUAACUUGUGGGCAGAAAUCAAGUUGUGUUUGAAAGAAGGAACAAGUAACGCAUCAUGAAGAGUGAUGAAUGGAUUUAAUGCAAAAGAUCCUGUGCAUGUCACUUUCACUUUAU
rnacentral:lncRNA from 1 species